rnacentral:rRNA from 1 species
CCUACGGGAGGCAGCAGUGGGGAAUAUUGCGCAAUGCCCGAAAGGGUGACGCAGCGACGCCGCGUGGAGGAAGAAGGCCUUCGGGUUGUAAACUCCUUUCAGCAGGGACGAAGCCGCAAGGUGACGGUACCUGCAGAAGAAGCCCCGGCUAACUACGUGCCAGCAGCCGCGGUAAUACGUAGGGGGCAAGCGUUGUCCGGAUUUAUUGGGCGUAAAGAGCACGUAGGCGGUCUGUCAAGUCAGGUGUGAAAACCCUCGGCUCAACUGGGAGACGGAACUUGAAACUGGCAGGCAAGAGGCCAAGAGAGGGAAGGGGAAUUCCUAGUGUAGCGGUGAAAUGCGCAGAUAUUAGGAAGAACACCAGUGGCGAAGGCGGCUUCCUG